AUUGAACGCUGGCGGCAUGCCUUACACAUGCAAGUCGAACGGCAGCGCGGGGCAACCUGGCGGCGAGUGGCGAACGGGUGAGUAAUAUAUCGGAACGUACCCUGGAGUGGGGGAUAACGUAGCGAAAGUUACGCUAAUACCGCAUACGAUCUAAGGAUGAAAGCAGGGGACCGCAAGGCCUUGUGCUCCUGGAGCGGCCGAUAUCUGAUUAGCUAGUUGGUGGGGUAAAGGCCUACCAAGGCAUCGAUCAGUAGCUGGUCUGAGAGGACGACCAGCCACACUGGAACUGAGACACGGUCCAGACUCCUACGGGAGGCAGCAGUGGGGAAUUUUGGACAAUGGGCGAAAGCCUGAUCCAGCAAUGCCGCGUGAGUGAAGAAGGCCUUCGGGUUGUAAAGCUCUUUUGUCAGGGAAGAAACGGUGGAGGCUAAUAUCCUCUGCUAAUGACGGUACCGGAAGAAUAAGCACCGGCUAACUACGUGC
rnacentral:rRNA from 1 species